rnacentral:piRNA from 1 species
UGCAUAGUCUAUCGAAAAUAA